rnacentral:rRNA from 1 species
UAGGGAAUCUUCCGCAAUGGGCGAAAGCUUGACGGAGCAACGCCGCGUGAGUGAUGAAGGUCUUCGGAUCGUAAAACUCUGUUAUUAGGGAAGAACAAAUGUGUAAGUAACUAUGCACGUCUUGACGGUACCUAAUCAGAAAGCCACGGCUAACUACGUGCCAGCAGCCGCGGUAAUACGUAGGUGGCAAGCGUUAUCCGGAAUUAUUGGGCGUAAAGCGCGCGUAGGCGGUUUUUUAAGUCUGAUGUGAAAGCCCACGGCUCAACCGUGGAGGGUCAUUGGAAACUGGAAAACUUGAGUGCAGAAGAGGAAAGUGGAAUUCCAUGUGUAGCGGUGAAAUGCGCAGAGAUAUGGAGGAACACCAGUGUCGAAGGCGACUUUCUGGUCUGUAACUGACGCUGAUGUGCGAAAGCGUGGGGAUCAAACAGG